rnacentral:rRNA from 1 species
GAUGAACGCUGGCGGCGUGCCUAAUACAUGCAAGUCGAGCGAACGGACGAGAAUCUUGCUUCUCUGAUGUUAGCGGCGGACGGGUGAGUAACACGUGGAUAACCUCCCUAUAAGACUGGUAUAACUUCGGGAAACCGUAGCUAAUACCGUAUAAUCUUUUGAACCGCAUUGUUCAAAAGUGAAAGACGGUCUUGCUGUCACUUCUAGCUGGAUCCGCGCUUCAUUAGAUAGUUGGUACGGUAACGGCUUACCACGGCAACGAUGCAUAGCCGACCUGAGAGGGGGAUAGGCCACACGGGAACGGAGACACGGUCAAGACUCCUAAGGGAGGCAGCAGUAGGGAAUCGUCAGCAAUGGGAGAAAGCAUGACGGAGCAAAGCCGCGUGAGUGAUGAAGGUCUUCGGAGCGUAAAAAUCUGUUAUGAGGGAAGAACAUAUGUGUAAGUAACUGUGCAGAUAUUGACGGUAACGAAUCAGAAAGCCACGGCUAACUACGUG